rnacentral:rRNA from 1 species
CUUCCUACGGGACGCAGCAGUAGGGAAUCUUCCACAAUGGGCGAAAGCCUGAUGGAGCAACGCCGCGUGGGUGAAGAAGGUCUUCGGAUCGUAAAACCCUGUUGUUAGAGAAGAAAGUGCGUGAGAGUAACUGUUCACGUUUCGACGGUAUCUAACCAGAAAGCCACGGCUAACUACGUGCCAGCAGCCGCGGUAAUACGUAGGGGGCAAGCGUUAUCCGGAUUCACUGGGCGUAAAUGGAGCGCAGGCGGCAUGGCAAGUCUGAUGUGAACACCC